rnacentral:lncRNA from 1 species
GAUUGCUUAAGUACCAAGUCUUGCCUAGCCAGAUUUGUCUUAUGCUACUCACUAAAUACCCUUUAAAGUAAAAUUACUUUUAAAAUCAAAGGACACACAAACAAAAACAAUUUUUUAAGACCCCUAAAACGUUUUCGGACUCUAAUGUGACAAGGUCACACCUACACGUGAAAAUCACACACAUGCAAGACAAUCAAAUUCUACUCCUAUGUCUAGCUAUGCUAAAUU